UACGAAGGGUGCAAACGUUGCUCGGAAUUACUGGGCGUAAAGCGCGUGUAGGCGGCAGGGCAUGUCGGAUGUGAAAUCCCGUGGCUCAACCACGGAAGUGCACCCGAAACUGCCCAGCUUGAGUCUCGGAGAGGAAGGCGGAAUGCUUGGUGUAGAGGUGAAAUUCGUAGAUAUCAAGCGGAACACCGGUGGCGAAGGCGGCCUUCUGGACGAUGACUGACGCUGAGACGCGAAAGCGUGGGGAGCAAACAGG
rnacentral:rRNA from 1 species